AAUGUAUAGCAACCAAGCAAGUGGCUAAUCAAGAAAAAAGCCACUGAAACCUGGUAAAGCUUUGGAACAUUUUAGUUUAUCCUUGUCCAUCCUCUACCCCGCAUCUUGGUGGCAGUCUUGAAAGUGAUGUCCCAUGUCCCUGGUUUGGGCUCCUGGGGUUGUAGGGAGCAGACUGACACUGGUCCCAAGACAAUGCGGCUGUGCAUUCUGACCCACCUGUGCGCUCCCUGAAGGACUACAGCCAUGAGCCUGCCUUUACUUUCCUGACUUGGGACUCUGUUAGGGCAGGAGGGCAGCUAUGCAGGUGUGUUUUUAAACACAUUGAAAAGCAAAAGAACUACCUGCUUUCACAAGGGACAAAGAGUAUAAGUUGGGGCAAGCAAUAAGCCUGGAGGGAAAGGUUUAGGAGUGAAAUGCUUUAGGGAAUAAGAGCUUUGAAGAACACCUAGGCAUGCCAAUACCAGGGGACCUAGAGGCCACACACAGGGUUGGAUGCAUGAUGAGAAAGAAGGUAAAAAAAAAGCUCUGAACUCUCAACGCUGGUUGACCUUCCAGCUCCAUGCAGUUAGGAGAUGCAGGCUAAGACAGAGCUGUAAAUAGCCCGGCUGGGCCUUGAAGGUAUGUCCCAAUACACACGCAGAGUCCAGCUAAAAAGACCAGAUUUUUUCUUUCAGUUACAGGAAUUUAGAGACUUCAGUGACCACAUGCCACAAAUAAAACUUUUGAAAAGUUGCGAAAUAAACUACUACAACUUCUAUCGAGCAGUAACAACCAGUCCUGGCAAGAAAGGUGCAACUGAUGCCCAAAUUAGCAAUUCUAAUAUUUAAGAUAUCUGACUUUUAACACAAAAUUAUAGAGCGUGUAAAGAAGCAAAAAAAAUAUUUUAUUCAUUCACAGGAAUAAAAUAAAUAAAGUAAUUGAGACUGUCCCUGACAAAGGAUAGACAUUCUUAAGCUUACACAACAGACUUCAAAUGAAUUGUCUGAAAUACGCUCAAAUAGCUAAAGGAAACUAUAGCCAAAAAGAAUAAAGGAAAUCAGAUGAUGUCUCCAACAAUAAAGAAUAUCAUUGAAGAGACAGAAAUGGUAGAAAUGAAUCAAAUAGAAAUUCUGGAGCCAAAAAGUACAAUAGCAAAUGUGAAAAAUUCAUUAGAGACAUUUGACAGUACAUAUAAGCUGGCAGAAGAAAGAAUCAAUGACCUUGGACAUAUGUGCCUUGAGAUUAACCAGACUGAGGAUCAGAAAGAA